CGCGUAGGCGGUCCGCUAAGUUGGAUGUGAAAACUCUGGGCUUAACCCAGAGCCUGCAUUCAAAACUGACGGGCUAGAGUUCUGGAGGGGGUAGCGGAACUCCUGGUGUAGCGGUGAAAUGCGUAGAUAUCAGGAGGAACACCGGUGGCGAAGGCGGCUACCUGGACAGAAACUGACGCUGAGGCGCGAAAGCUAGGGGAAGCAAACA
rnacentral:rRNA from 1 species